rnacentral:snRNA from 1 species
AUACUUACCUGGCAAGGGAGACACCGUGAUCAAGAAGGUGGUUCGUCCAGGGCGAGGCUUAGCUAGUGCACUCUGGCUGUGCUGACCCCUGCGAAUUUCCCAAAUGUGGAAAUCUUGAUUGCAGACUUUCAGGUAGUGGGGGACUGCUCUCUGCUGAUCUUGA